AGGAGGAACAACCAUGGUGGUGGCAGCAGCUCUGGAAACCUGGAUUCAGCCCCCACAGGAACUCUGAGGCACUUGACCUGCAGGGCCUGGAGGCUCCGGGGUGCG
rnacentral:pre_miRNA from 1 species